AUGAAUAAUAUAGCAGAAAUGGAAGCCUUGGAGCGUGUAUUUAGUGAUGCAAGUGCAAAGCCGAUCAAACUAUCAUAUGGACUUCUCGAAAUUAUUACGGAGAAUUUUUCGAACGAAAUUGGCCGUGGUGGGUUUGGAGUUGUUUACAAGGGAUAUCUACGAAAUGGGGAGGUUGCUGUGAAGAAGCUCUCCAAUCCGCAUGCUUUGCCUGAUAGGAAAUUCCUGGAUGAGAUCACGUGUUUAAAAAAGGCAAAGCACACAAAUAUAGUAAGAAUUCUGGGUUAUUGUUCAGAAACGCAGGGGGAGUUGCUUGAAAUCAAUGAAAAACAUAUAAUGGCAGAGAUACAGAAAAAGUUGAUCUGCUUUGAGUAUGUUCCUAAUGGAAACAUUCAACACUAUUUGAAACAAGAGAGACAUCAUGGAGACGAUUGGCAUGUACGCUACCAAAUGAUUGUAGGGAUUUGUCAAGGGCUGCACUAUCUGCAUGAGAAAUACAUUAAUCACUUGGAUUUGAAACCUGAAAAUGUUUUGUUGGAUGCUGAUAUGAAGCCAAAAGUUACAGAUUUUGGUUUGUCAAGAUGCCUAGAUCAAGGACAAUCUAUUAUUACACAAAACAUACUUGGAACACCGCGGUAUAUUGCACCAGAAAUCAUAGACAAAGGAGAAAUAUCAUUUAAGUCUGACAUUUACGCUUUUGGUAUUAUUACCAUAGAAUUAUUAACAGGGAUCAGCAAAGCAAAUCUUGACAAUUGGGAUAAAUUAUUAGACAUGGACUGUCCACGAAUGAGGAGGUGCAUUGAAAUCGCUCGAAAGUGCACCGACCCUGACAAACGCGAAAGACCCACCGCACGUGAAGUAAUCCGUGACCUGGACGAGCUGGAGAGCAUGGUUCCAUGGUCCUCCAUGAACCAGGUCACCCCCACUGUUGUCCCUGGAAAUGAGGUACUCGAUGUGUACCCGCUGGAGCUCAGGUUUCCCUUCGUGCCAAACAAGGAGAUGCGUUGCCACUUGACCACGACCACCAAGACAGAUUGUUUUGUCUUCUGUAUGCUCGUACCUGGAGUUCCGGAUAGAUACUCGGGUGACUUGGUAGGCAUUGUACCUGGAAUGUGCACUUCCGUUACCCCAGUAGUAAGGCAGGCGGAAGAGGAGCUUCCCUCAGGCACGGACGAGUUGGAGGUACUGUUCUGGCUCACAGGGUGCAAUGAUCCCGACAAACUCGCACUUCAGCUAUCAGCAUUAUCAGUGUACCCUGGUUCGCCCUCUCAAUAUGAAUUAAAGGCGGCAUUCCAUGAGCUUGGGUGGGAGCUACACCGGACGACGUUGACAGCGGUCGUCGUCGCCCCCGAGGAUGAUGAUCUAGCUCUAGUGGUGAAUACUCCGUGCAAAGAAGAAGAAUUUUUUUAUUCUAUCGAUUGCAUGGAUGUGCAUCCUACGGAGCCCUGGGUUGCAAUCUUUGCUAAAAAUAGAAAGGGUGUUUACCUUUGGAACUGGCAGACCAAUGAGAAAAUAGGAGAAUGUAACUCUGGUGUUGAUAUAUUGGGAUCUGAUUGUGAUGGAGAGAUGCUCGUGACCAAAUUUAUCUCUAGAAAGCAAUGGGUCGUAAUCGGGAACUCAGACGGGUUUAUCCUUGUGUGCACGUGUCCUUCAAUGGACCAAGUCACACAUUUCAAAGCUCACCGUGAUAGUCUCGGUUUAUUGGCAGUUCACCCAACUCGCCCGUUCCUGUUGUCGUGUAACAACAUGAAGAUGAAGAUUUGGGACUGGAACCGUGGCUGGUCUUGUAUUGGAAAAAUUCAUAGCACUAGCCGGGUGACACAAGUCAUGUUUAACCCCAGGAAUACUAACGAUUUCGCUACUCACCAUCAUGAUGGGAUUGUCAAGAUGUGGAGAAUUGAUCAUCCCGACCCCGUCGGCACAACGCACCGCCUACAUGACAUGUAUGAGACUGCUAGCAGCUCUUUCACUUACACGGGUGAUCGGUAUUUCAUUGCUGCCAUCCACAACAGCAAGAAUGUUGCGCUGACCAUAUGGGAUUUGCAGAAAGAAGAACAUGUCUACACACUCACCACUGACGAGGUGACUGCUGCCGCCGUUUGCCAUCCAACACUUCCAGUAUUAGUUACGGUUUCAAAUGGCGGGACUAUUCAUGUGUGGGACUCCACUACCUACAGGCUUAAGAAGGUCUAUGAGAAUUGUCCAAAGGACCCUAUUCAUAUCGGUUUUACAGGCUCAGAAAGGCUUGUGAUUGGACAUAGCAAGGGAAUAUCAGUAUUGGAUAUUGAUCUGGAAUAG
rnacentral:rRNA from 1 species